rnacentral:sRNA from 1 species
AUGGACCAGAGACCAAUUAGUGAUGAUACAGUUCGGCGUCGACUAAAAUUUCGUAACCUUAGUUGUUGUCGUCCUGCCAGAGGACCUAAUCUCACACCACGUCACCGCCGAGAACGACUACAGUGGGCCACCCAUCGACAAAAUUGGAGACAUCAGCAGUGGAAAACUGUUAUCUUUUCAGACGAAAACCGUUACUGCAUUUCAGAUGCAGAUGGCAGGACACGGAUCUGGAUAAGACAGGGCGAAAGGUAUGCAGAUAACUGUAUGAUGCGGAGAGAUCAAUGGGGAGGUCCAACCAUUUUAAUAUGGGGCGGAAUCGGCUUGAACCAUAAAUUAGGGUCUGCUGUUUUCCAGAAUCUUGGACCAGGUAGAGGAAAUGAUGUUAAUGCAGUCCGUUAA